GUUGCAGGUUUCCAAUGUGCUUUCUAUGAGAAAGUCAAGAGGGUGCCACUCCCUUCCAAGGAUAAUCCUAAUCCCUGACUUCAACUUCUUGCUACCUACGCCAUCUGUAAAGGUUACCUAUCCUUAGACAUAUUAGAAACAUAUCAGUGACCAUAGGAUAUUUAAAAUCUUGAGAUCAGUUAAGUAAAACAAAUUAAAUCAUGCCAGAUGCAAACUAUGGAUUUUUCCAUAAAAGUAUCAUCUUCAGGAAGGAUCUCAGAAUCCUUCCUGAGGAUGGUAUAACUUUGCGGCAGCCCUCCCAGAAAGACUCCUGUGUUAUCUCCAAUAACAGUACUACCAUUCAGGAUGGCAGAGGAACCUAGAGAAUAGGAGAUGAGAAACACACCUUCACCAGCAUACUCUAUUUUUACUAACUCAUCAAAUAAUAAAAUCCUUCACCAGCCUUCGGGAUAC